UGUUUUCUCUUACCAUAGCACCUGUAACGGAUUCCGGAUAUGUUAAUUUGUACGGUACUGAUAUUACAGAACGAAAGCAGGCCGAAGAAAACCUCAGGAACUAUCGACAACGAUUGGAAGAACUGGUCCACAUCCGCACGGGGGAAUUGGCAGAAACAAACAAGAAGCUGCUGCUGGAAAUCGAAGGUCGCAUACGCCUGGAAAAAGAGAUUUUGAAUAUCAGCGAGCGCGAGCAGAAGCGAAUAGGACAGGAGCUUCACGACAGUAUCGGUCAACAAUUUACGGGUAUUGCGUUUUUGACGAAGGUAUUAGAACAAAAACUAACUGGGAAAUUGUCUGAUGAGGCCGCAGAAGCCACAGAGAUAAAGAAACUUGUUAACCUGGCAAUGAACCAGAUGCGAAGCCUUGCCAAGGGGCUUCAUCCUGUAAAUCUGGAUGCGGGCAGUUUCACUUCAGCUCUGCAGGAGCUUGCAACAACUACAGAGAAUCUGUUUGGUAUCCGCUGCACUCUCAAAUACGAUAGGCCAAUUAAGAUAGACGAUGCCGAAGUGGCAACGCACCUUUAUCGUAUUACUCAGGAGGCCAUUACUAAUGCAAUCAAACACGGCAAGACAAAGAAUAUUCAUAUAGAAUUAGGCCAAAAGAAAGAUAAAUCAGUCCUUAAAAUCGAGAACGACGGGCUUGAUUUUCCCGAAAGAAUUC
rnacentral:rRNA from 1 species